rnacentral:rRNA from 1 species
ACGGGAGGCAGCAGUGGGGAAUAUUGGGCAAUGGCCGAAAGCCUGACCUAGCAACGCCGCGUGAAGGAAGAAGGUCUUCGGAUUGUAAACUUCUUUUAUAAGGGACGAAGAAAGUGACGGUACCUUAUGAAUAAGCCACGGCUAACUACGUGCCAGCAGCCGCGGUAAUACGUAGGUGGCAAGCGUUAUCCGGAUUUACUGGGUGUAAAGGGCGCGUAGGCGGGGAUGCAAGUCAGAUGUGAAAUCCAUGGGCUUAACCCAUGAACUGCAUUUGAAACUGUAUCUCUUGAGUGCUGGAGAGGUAGACGGAAUUCCUUGUGUAGCGGUGAAAUGCGUAGAUAUAAGGAAGAACACCAGUGGCGAAGGCGGUCUACUGGACAGUAACUGACGCUGAGGCGCGAAAGCGUGGGGAGCAAACAGGAUUAGAUACCCUGGUA